rnacentral:rRNA from 1 species
UAGGCUAGGGGGCGGGAGAAGCCGACGGUAUUUCCGGGGUAGGGGUAAAAUCCUAUAAUCCCGGGAGGACCACCAGUGGCGUAGGCGGUCGGCUAGCACGCGCUCGACGGUGAGGGACGAAAGCUGGGGGAGCAAACCGGAUUAGAUACCCGGAUAGUCCCAGCUGUAAACGAUGCGGGCUAGGUGUUGGGGUGGCCACGAGCCACUUCAGUGCCGCAGGGAAGCCAUUAAGCCCGCCGCCUGGGGAGUACGGCCGCAAGGCUGAAACUUAAAGGAAUUGGCGGGGGAGCACCACAAGGGGUGAAGCUUGCGGUUCAAUUGGAGUCAACGCCGGGAACCUUACCGGGGGCGACAGCAGGUUGAAAGCCAGAUUGACGAUCUUGCUGGACGAGCUGAGAGGAGGUGCAUGGCCGUCGCCAGUUCGUGCCGUGAGGUGUCCUGUCAAGUCAGGCAACGAUCGAGACCCACGCUCCCUGUUGCUACCGAGGAGUUUCCAAGGGGCACUCUGGGGGGACUGCCGU